rnacentral:tmRNA from 2 species
UACGGAUUCGACAGGGGUAGUUUGAGCUCAGGUCGCACGUCGAGGUUACGACUCGUAAACCGUUAUUCGCCUAAAUAUAACUGGCAAAGAAAACAAUUACUCUUUAGCAGCUGCGUAAGUAGCACUAAAGGAUCCUUCCUGUCACUCGCCCGUGGUGCAGAUUGAAGGGUCUCAACUGAAGCGGGCUAUGCUGGUAUCCUCCGUCUGAGGAUCUCCAGGUGAACUGAAUCAGACUAGCUAUCUGAAAGCCUGUUGAUAGGCUGCAGGAUUAGCGAAUGAUAAUAUAUCAACUACGCGUGUAGAAGCCUGAGUGCCGAUAUCUCUGGACGUGGGUUCGAUUA